ACUUCCUGAGCCGGAACGGAAAGUGUCUUGUACCUCAGGGUACCAGAGGCUUUUGGCUUUGGGUGGUGAUGUUGUGUUUGCAUUGGGUCUGUUUUUCAGACCUGCUUAAUUUCCUGUGAUAUACCCUGUCUGUCCAUAGUUUAUAUUUUUUACAGCACCGCUUUUAGCGGUGUUUUUUUUU
rnacentral:other from 1 species